UACGAAGGGGGCUAGCGUUGUUCGGAAUUACUGGGCGUAAAGCGCGUGUAGGCGGGGCUUUAAGUCAGGGGUGAAAUGCCAGGGCUCAACCUUGGAACUGCCUUUGAUACUGGAGACCUUGAGUCCGGGAGAGGUGAGUGGAAUUGCGAGUGUAGAGGUGAAAUUCGUAGAUAUUCGCAAGAACACCAGUGGCGAAGGCGGCUCACUGGCCCGGAACUGACGCUGAGACGCGAAAGCGUGGGGAGCAAACAGG
rnacentral:rRNA from 1 species